rnacentral:ncRNA from 1 species
AGAAUAUAUAAAUUUGACUUUGGUUUAGUUUUUAAUUAUUAUAAUUUUAUACAUGUUAGGUUUGUUGUUUUAUAUUCCGUUAGAUUUUUCAGUUAAUUUUGUUAAAUAUAAUUAGAUUUAAUAUUGAAUAUUUAAUUAAAAGAUGGUUUAUUAAAUAUUAUUUAAUAUAAACUCUGGAAUCUUCAGUAUAUAAAUUUAUACAAUGAAUGAAAGUUUUAUAUAGAAAUUGUAAAUGACUAUUGGAUAAAUUUGUGCCAGCAUCUGCGGUUAUACAUAUAAUAGAAAUUAAAAAUAGAUUGGUUGAAAAUAGAGUUAGAUUAUUUUAUUUUAAAAUGGACUUAAUAUAAUUAGUUUUUUGGGAAAAUUUUAUAAUUUGUUUGUUUAUAUUUUUUUUCAUUAUUGUUGAUUCUUUGAAAUUUUAAGAAUAAACUAGGAUUAGAUACCCUAUUAUUUUAUAACGUAAAAAUUGAUAUAUGUAUUUACCUAAGUAUUAUGAAUUUUUAUUUAUUUAAAACUUAAAAAGUUUGGCGGGUUUACAUAUCCAUUUAGGGGAGUCUGUUAAUAUAAUUUGAUAAUCCGCAUUUUAAACUAAUUUUUUUUUGAUAUUAUAAUUAUGUUUAUAAUUAUAACAGUUUAUAUAUUGCUGUCGUCAGUUUAUGUUUUGAGGUUAAAAGAACUAUUAAAUAUUGAGUGUUGUUAUGUCAAGUCAUAAUGUAGCUGAUAGAAAAGGUUUAAUGGACUACUUUAAUUAAUUUUGUUUAUUAAACCAGAUAAUGAAGAUUAUAUUUUGUUAGUAAGGUGGACUUAAUAGUAAAUUAAUAAUUAGUAUGUAUUAUUGAAUAUUGGUUUUGUAAGAUGUACAUAUCGCCCGUCGCUCUUGUUGAUUAAAUAAGAUAAGUCGUAACAUAGUAGAGGUAAUGGAAAUUGCUUCUGGAAUAUUUAGGAU